UCCAGGUUGUUGUGCUGCUUGGCUGGCCUGCUGCUGCCUGUGCAUGAGCUGAGCGCCUGCUGCUGACUUCACUCACAAUGCAGUUUUGCAGCCAGGCACGUGUGUUGUGACUGAGUGUGUGACAGAAAAUCGUUUUUGUGUCAUUUAGAGGUAAAAUGCGUGCAUUUUAGCGUUUGAGUCACUUUUCAAAAGUUGCUAAAAGUUCCAAAUAAAUGUUUUAAAGUAGCUAAAUGUGUUACUAGGUGCUGUUUGGAAAAAAAAAGUUGCCAGGGUAGUCUGAAAAGUUGCUAAAUCUAGCAACAAAAUUGCUAAAUUGGCAUCACUGAAUUGGGGAGCUCAGCAGAUGUGCUUAGCUAUUAUCUAUUACAAAAAUUCUAAUGACCUGUCUUGAGCGAGGACAAGGAAGUGCGUGAAACCCUGUAAGUAUCCAAUAUCAUGGCCGUUACCGCGAUUAUUGAUGAGCAUGGAAGGUUUCAGCCUUUUGUCGGUCUUGCAGGAGAAUAGUAAUUAUUCAUUUGGAGGAACUGAUACAGACACACAUCUCAUGCGAGGAAAGCGGCUACACCACGAUGUCCGAUUCCACCAACCCAAAUCCCUAAAAUUACCCCAAAUGCCACACCGACGCUGCGUUAUCUAUACUCGCGCGCAUAUCGCCUAUACCAGCUGGUGAGCGACACGGACUAUCGCACUCUCCAGUUGUUAAAAAGAAGCGACAUGUUUGAUGGCUGUGUCAGGGUCUACGGGAAAUUAUCUCACUUGAAGUCACAUAUAAGGACACACCCAGGUGAGAAGCCCUACAACUGCACCUGGCCCGACUGUGACAAGAAGUUCUCCUGUUCAGACGAACAAAAACGUUAGGUCUGUUGCAAAACUUUUUGCAACGGAUAAGUUGACUCGAAACAGAAAACAUUUUGCAACGAAAAUAAGAGUUUCUAUUGGACAAAUUCAGGAAGGUUCCUCCCCGUUUCGUUCUGUUUGCUUCCAUUUGGUUCCUAGAGUAAACGGUAACGGUUUCUGUUGCAAAAUGUUUUGCAACGGAAUCCGACUAAUGAAUCCACCCCUUGUCAGACCAAUGGAUAACUGGAUCUCCACUGUGGGGAAGCAGAAGUGCGGGAUAGGAGAGGAGGAGGUUCUGUAGCCAUACCCUGGUCCCAGAUUUGUCUUAAGACAACUCCUUUGACUAUUGUCAUGAUGCCAUACAUUCAUGUUUGGCUUGACAAGGAACACACGAUGCACAGCAGAGUUGGCUAAAGCACACAUACAGAUGGGACCAGGCUACUGUAGCCUACUUCACUCAGCCUGUCUCAGAUAACUCAUCUUGUAUUUUGUAUGGUAUUUGACUGGUAAACUGAGCUCUGAGAGCCAGCCCUCUAAGACAUGCCAUUUUCCAACGAUGGCACUUUCUCAAUAGGUGUUUUCUGAUUACUGUUUUUUUUAAUCGCUUUGGUACAUUUUCACAACACUUUGUACAAAACUCAAAACAGAUCAUCAAAAAGGCAGUUGUUUCAGAACUCUAAGCACGUUUUUCAAUUGACUAAGUACAACACACAAUUAGUUUUUCACCAAACUUAAUCAAUGUUUCAUCUAGAAAUACGUUUCACAUUGCAAUACAUGUUCAUAUUAAGUAAUAGCUAUUCACAAUGCAAUGCUCAUUACUUUUGAUAUGAUUGUCUUCUCAUUUGUUAAAAUACAUUUAACUAUGACUUAAUCCGACUGCUCUUAAUUGAUAAUCACUAAACCAUUUUGUAAACUUAUAGGUUAAUGGUUUCUCUACAACAUAUUGAGAACACAAUGAAAAUGUAUUUUUGAUAAGUAUAAACAUAUAAAAUAUGAUAUAUAUACUGUAAUGUACUAUUAUGACUUAUGAUUUUACUUCACAUUAAAUAAGUAAAAAAUAUCUGAUAUUGACAAGAUGUGUAAUGCAUCCCCUAUAGGUAUGUAUCCAAAAUGAAGUAUUUUGGUGUUUCACACUGCUUUGCUAAAAUUGCAUUGGCAACACAGUACUGUAAUAAAUGGCAUUUAUGUAUCCAAAGUGA